CUGAGUGGCUGUAUUCGUGAUUCUCUUCGGAGGGGCGAAGCUACCCGACCUGAUGUCAUUCUAUCCGAGGGCGCGUCCGCUUGAGACAGCGGUUCGACGUUGGAGUUACCCGGACGAGGCGCUUGUCUCGAAGGGGGAAGCUCCGGGUCGGGUCGUGGCGCGCCUCUCGGCACAACUUUCCGCGGAAGAGGUAGGCGUUGACCUGCCCGCCGCGGGCCGUAUUUUCUACAACUCUUGAAGAAAACCUGAAGUCUGAAUACAAAAUAAAACGAAAGCA
rnacentral:misc_RNA from 1 species